rnacentral:lncRNA from 1 species
UUUUUUUUUUUUUUUUGUCUUUUUUAGGGCCACUCCCACAGCAUAUGAAAGUUCCCAGGCUAGGGGUCGAAUGGGAGGUGCAGCCCCAACCUACACCACAGCUCACCGAAACACAGGAUCCUUAACCUACUGAGUGGGGCCAGGGAUUGAACCCACAUGCUCAUGGAUCCUAGUUGGGCUCAUUAACAGCUGAGCCGUGACAGGAACUCUUCCCCCCCACCACUAAUUUUUCUCUUAUUGAAUCAAUCCUAUAAUCACACCAAAUAAUUUUCAGAAACAAUGAGGUAUGCAUUUAAAUAGGAGUGAUUAUAAUCAAGUGAAGUCUAUUAUAUUUGAAAAUUUUAAAGUCGUGUUUUGCCAUUUUCACUGUAUUGAUUCUUAAAAUUCAAGAGCAUGGUAUAUUUAUAUCCAUCUAUUUGUGUGUUUUUUUAUUCCUUUCAUCAUGUCUCAUAGUUUUCAGAGUACAGGUCUUUUGUCUCUUUAGGGAGGUUUAUUUCUAGGUAUUUCAUUCUUCUUGGUGCAAUGAUAAAUGUAAUUGUUUCCCUAAUUUUUCUUUCUGAUCUUUCAUAGUAUAUAGAAAUGCAGUUGAUUAAUGUAUUAAUUUUGUAUCCUGUAACUUUAGCAAAAUCAUUUAUGAGCUCUAAUAGUUUUCUUGUAGUGUCUUUAGGAUUUUCUAGGUCUAUAAUCCUGUGAUCUCUAAACAUGAUAGUUUUACUUCUUGUUUUCAAACUGGGAUUUUUUCAUUUCUUUUUCUUCAGACUCUACUACAAAGCUACAGUCAUUAAAACAGGAUGGUGCUGCCACAAAAACAAAUAUAGAUCAAUGCAAUAGGAUAGAAAGCCCAGAAAUAUCUCAAAACACCUAUGGGUCAAUUAAUCUAUGUCAAAGGAAGCAAGAACAUAUGGUGGAGGCAGAACAGAGUCUGACGUCUGGGAGCCUGAUUCUUCCAGUUCUGUUUUUUCUUUCCAAUAUUAUUUUGGCUGUUCAAGGUCUUUUGCGUUUCCAAACAAAUUUUAAAAUAUUUUGUUCUAGUUUUGUAAAGAAUAUCAUUGGUAAUUUAAUAGGGAUUUCAUUGAAUCUGUAGACAGACACCAUAUAAUACCACUUAUAUGUGGAGUCUAAAGUAUGGCACAAAUGAUCUAUUUAUAAAACAGAAAAGAUCAUGGACAUGUAAGACAGACAGACUCAUGUUUGCCAGUGGGAGGAGGGAUAGAGUGGGAUGGGUUGGGAGUCUGGGGUUAGGAGAUGAAAACUCUUGCAUUUGGAGUGUAUGGGCAAUAAGAUUCUGCUGUAUAGCACAAGGAACUAUAUAUCUAAUCACUUGUGAUGAAACAUGAUGGAGGACAAUGUGAGAAAAAGAAUGUGUGUGUGUGUAUAUAUAUACAUAUAUAUAUGUAUGACUGGGUCAAUUUUCAGUAUAGCAAAAAUUGAUAAAACACUAAAUCAUAAAUAUUUUUUAAAGAUCAUGUGUUUUGUAUACAUAUUUACUCUGAAAUAGAUGCAACUACAUGAGUUGAUUGCUACUUUAGAAUGCUUCUUAAAACUGGAAAAUUUAUUAUUUCUAUUUAAUAUAAUUCAUGUCAAUUUAAUAAUGAUUUUCGUAAAAAUAUAAACAUUUAAUGCAGAUAUUAAAUAUUUAUAUUCUAUAUACCCCUAGUGCCCAGAUUGGUAGCUUGUACAUGGAAAAUAUCUUGUGCAUGCAGAAAUUUCAAAAUAAUACUCUGAUUAUUUCAUUGUUGUCUUCACAAGGUCCAUUAAUGAUCUUUUAGUAAAAUAUUCUACUUGUUCUAUAUAGGAGAAAGUUUGUAUUACCAUCGGCCUUCUUAAAUGCUUUGGGAAAUUUAGAAAGAUCAUAUAAGGUAUUUUUCCAAAGAGUUACAUUUUAUUUAAUUAGAUCUAGAAAAUUUUUUACAGGGCAAGAGAUCAUAUUGGAAAACUUCCAGAUUUAAAAAAAAAAAAAAAAAAGUGGCUUAAAGGGAGUUCUCAUUGUGGCUCAGGGGAUUACCAACCCAACUAGUAUCAAUGAGGAUGCAGGUUCAAUCCCUGACCUCCUCCCUCAGUGGGUUAAGGAUCUGCAUUGUUGUGGCUGUGGUGUAGGUUGGCAGCUGCAGUUCUGAUUUGACCCUUAACCUGGAAAAUUCCAUAUGCCACAGGUGCAGCCCUAAAAAAAAAAAAAAACAGAACAAAAAAAAAAAACCCAGAAAGGCUUAGGUCCAAUAUCCAAAAAAAAAAACAAAAAAAAAAAAACCCAGAAAGGCUUAGGUCCAAUAUCCAAAAAAACAAACAAGAAAAGAGACAAAGUCUCACAACUCUGUCAAAACAACCAACUCUAGGAAAUGAGAUCUAUGGUCUGAAUGUUCAUGACCUCCAAAAUCCAUAUGUUGAAAUCCUAAUGACCAGAGUGAUAGUGCGGUCUUUGAGAAGGGAUUAGAUCAUGAAGUGGCACUCUCAUCAAUGGAAUUGUGCUCCUAUAAGAAAAAUCUCAUAGAGCUCCCUGAUCCCUUCUACCAUGUGAGGAUACAAGGAGUCUAAAACCUGGAAGAGGGCUCUCUAUUGACCAGACUGGCAUCCUGCUUUCAGACUUUUACCUUCUAGAACAGUGAGGAAUAAAUUCUGUUGCUUCUAAGCUACCUAGACUGUGGUAUUCUGUUAAAGCAACCUGAACAGACUAAGACAAGAUCCUUAGAAGAAAUAAAUCUGAGAGCUAUUCCACAGCCCAUGUAUUGUCACACUCAUCUUUACAUCCCCAGGGUCUAAUAGAGAGUUGGACUCAAGGUAAGCGCCCCACAAAUUUUGAAUGGAUGCAUAAAUGGAUCAUUUAAGAUGAUGCUAGUUGAAUAUGUGCUUUGAGCUGCUUUUCUCUAUUAAGAUUGAUUUCUGCUGAUCCAUCAAUAUAUUCCCAGCCAAUCGCCCUCUGCCAAAACACGUCUUUGAGAGUUGGCAGGCUAGGAUCUGGUGUUUAGUCUGUGGCCAGAAAAAGAAUGAAAGGUAUCCAGACUGCAAAGGGUAUUAAUCUCUUGACCCUGGCCUUAUUAACUCUAUGCUUUAACUAACUGAGUUAACUAGCCAUGGCUAUAGGGAGCAGCAACAUUCAUAACCUUUAAUUACAGCAUUCUCUCUAAUGUCUCAAUGUUAUGGACUUGGAUGAGAAGCACAUUUGAAGAGACAUUAAUGGCACAGCAUAUGUUACAUUGUAGGUUUGUAAUCUGAGCCAAAAUUAGAACCCAUUUUUCAGAUAAUUAUCCAGUACUCUACUGUGAAAUCAAGCAGUCCAUUAAGGUCCUUAAAAUCUCUCUAUUCGAACCUGUAGCCCCCCAAAGCCAGGAGCUUUCUAUUAAUAGUUACAAGGUAUAUAUUAACACCCUUAAAAUAGCCAGGUUCUUCAAAUGCAACCCAUUAUUUAACAAUCAAAGGACUUUACUGAAUUUAAUCUAUCAAUUUAUAAAAUAAUUAUCAAAUACUAUAAGCAAGGUUCUCUUUCAUAUACCUCCCAAGAUACAAAUUAUAAUGUUUUUGGCUUUCAAGCAAUUUAAAACUUAAUCUAAAAAAAGAAGUGUACAUAUAGAAAUGUAAGUACCCCCCACUCAAACACACUUAUUCAAGAGCAAUACAACAUGCAAGAAGGCACAGGAGGCAGUUUUGAAGAUUAGAAGGGCUGAACUCUGAAGACGCCAAGUGAAAGUAAAAUUAUGUGGAAAAGACUUGGCAGUUUUAUGUGCCUAAAGUUCAAUACUAAAACACCUGAGGGGCAAGCCUGAGACCACUGAAUUCUUUAUUAUAGUGUUUACAUUGAUUUUUAAUUAUUCCUACCGUGCUGUUGUCCCUAAUACCUUGUGAGCUAUUUGAGGAUAAUAAUUGUAUCUUUUUUUAUCUUUGUGUGCCCAAGACAUAGCUUAGUACUGUGCAUUUGGUUAGUUUACAAAAUUUGCUCAUUCAAUUAUUUAUUGAACAUGGAUACUGGGCACCAGGCACUAGGAACAUGGUAUUUGACAAAAGAGAACUGGUCCCUGCUCUUUAGUUUACAGUCUUGUGGAUGAAUAAUGAGGGAAUAAAUGAAUGUAUUAGCCAUGUCCAAUGAACAGUAACUGCUUCCCUCUUCCUCCUUCUGAUGAUAAAUUUCUUUUGAGAUUCUAGUACACCUUCCUCCCACCCAUUAUUACAAAAAUGGAGGAAAGUUUGUCUCCUGCUCGUCUGUUUAUUCCUACUGACCAAGAACAUUUCGCCAAGUUUUGUCUUCUUAUGGUUAGAAUUUUGAAAAGGAUAGUGUUCCCCCCCGCCCCGCCAAACACAGAAUACAAUACUAACCAUAUUUUUGCAAACCAUACUGCCUGAAAGUGCUAGUUUCUUUGCGGAGGGUAUACAUCCUUGGCCAGGAACCACAGAGGAAGAAGUUGUGUGGAAGGAGACAGAGUAUGAGAAACAGAGAAGAGAAACCAGAGCCUGUGAACUGGGAAGUGGCAGCAUCAAAGUGGUAUUUUGAGAUAAUAAUCUAACAGACACACAUUUAGUCUAUAUUGUUACAGAUAACUGGAAGGCCAGUUAGGACACUACUGUAAUGGUUCAGGAACAACCUUAAUUGCUUAAACAAUCAUAGUUCUAGAGUACUAGAAAUUUCACUGAGGGUUCUAACCUUGAGCUGUAUAGAACAGUAGUACCACAAACAACAUUGGGCCCAUCAGGUAAAGUGACCAACACAGAAUUAGAGAACAAACAAAUCUAGAGAAUGACUUAUUUUUCAGUAUAAUUAAAUACAAUUACAUAGAGUUUUAUGAUUCAAGCCCUGAAGAUAGGGUAGCUUGAAAAUUACAGACCUGAACAGUAAGCAUUCUUCUCAUGUUAAGAAGAUUCUUCACAAAUCUUAUUAUAUACCAUAACAUUAGUGUUGAAUAAUUGAGAAGUUAACUUUGGGCUUUUCCUUGAUACAAGAAAUAAGACUUAUAAAUCCUUCAUGUACUACUACAGUAUUAUAAAUCCUAACAGUGAAAAUUUGAUAACAUUAGUUCCAGGCCCUAGGGCAGAAAAAGGUCCCAGAAUGCUAAUGUUGUGCAUGCCCCCAAUAGAAUCUCUCUGUUUCCAACAUUCAUUAAUUCAUCCAUUUGCUCACCUAGGUGAACCAAGUGCUUAUGUGUAGUAUACUUUGAUAGGCUCUGGGAUUCAAAAAAAAUGAGAGCUGGCCCCUGUCCUCAUGGAGGUCACAUGUUGCUGGACUGAAAAACUAGUGCAUUUGUUUUUUUACAAUGAUUUAAAAGCUUCUACCUAUUGGAGUUCCCGUCGUGGCGCAGUGGUUAACGAAUCUGACUAGGAACCAUGAGGAAAAAACUAGAAUUAUUGAAAAAGAGCCUAAUAAUGCUAAAAAGAUACUACUCUUAAGUAAGUUUCUUUAAUUUCUAUGUUUUUUUUUUUUUUUUUUUUUUCUUCUUCUUCUUUUGGGAGCCAAGCCUGGGGCAUUUGGAAAUUCCCAGGCCAGGGGUC